rnacentral:rRNA from 1 species
GACGAAGGGGGCUAGCGUUGUUCGGAAUUACUGGGCGUAAAGCGCGUGUAGGCGGUUGCCCAAGUCGGGUGUGAAAGCCUUGAGCUCAACUCAAGAAAUGCACUCGGUACUGGGUGACUAGAGUACCGGAGAGGAUAGUGGAAUUCCCAGUGUAGUGGUGAAAUACGUAGAGAUUGGGAAGAACACCAGUGGCGAAGGCGGCUAUCUGGACGGUUUCUGACGCUAAGACGCGAAAGCGUGGGGAGCAAACAGGG